GGACGCCAGCGGCGCCGCCCUGCUCCAGAGGGAGACGUCUGAGGGGGCGGGAAGCCGCGCUGCUCGCCUCAAAUGAGCAUCUCCGUCCCUGCCCCGCGCACGGAGGGAGCCGGCGUGUCGUGGCCGCGACGCCUGUGUUCGUUUUCUGUUGCUGCUAUAACUGCUCCUGAGGAGCUGAGGCUCUUGGUCCAACAGCCCACGAGGAACCGAACUGUGCCCACCGCCACACGAGUGAGCCUGGCAUAGACCCACCCAGUGGGGCCUGCAGCCUGUGCGAGACCCCGAGCAGAGGAGCUGGCUGAGCUGCACCCAGAUUUCUGACCUGCAGACACUGAGAUAAAGAAGCUACAGCUCAGGGUGACUAAGUGCCUUGCUCAAGACCACUGGGUGAGGAAGAAUAGAGUCAGGAUUGAAACCCAGAAGAACAAGAAUCUGUUUUUCAAGUGGACAGAAGAUCAGGAAAUGGAAGGUUGACUCAUGGGGAAAUAAUCUUCGGUAAAAGUAAAGGGCAUCUGUCCCAGUUAAGGCCUGAGACGUUGUCCAGGGGGUCAGACGGGGCUCAGGAGGAGAAAACACCAUGCUCACGUUUUGGCUUGGGUACUUCCAGCCAGGACAUGAGAGGAUACACAGGGGACCCUGAGCCAUGCAGGCGCAGUUCAGGGUGGGGGACCUGAGGCUUCCACACUAUUGAGAAUGCUUUCAUUCUUACCUUGAGGUGUGUUGAAUGCACCAGGACCAGAGGCCGCCCCCCCACUCUUGGCCGCCCCCAACCCCAGGAGUUGCACCACACAGGAAAGAGCUGUGGAAGUAUGACUUACAUUAAUACCAAGCGUCCUUAAUGUGAAGUGAGGAGGGAAAAGGCACGAAAGCCUGUUUUUACAUUUGUAAAUCUAUUUUUCUACAGCUAAGUAUCACAGGUACUUGGAUGGCAUACACUGACAGAUACACAGACUAACAGUGUACCCAGGAGAGCCUGCUACACCGAGGCAGGACACAGGAGCAGCUCUCUUCAUGCAAGGCCUCCGUACGAAAGAUGUUUUGAAAAACAAGGUCUCACAUAAGAGAGGCACCUCUCACCACCCUGUGGCCGCCGACCAGCCUCCCCAGAGGCCUCCCCUCCAGCCUGACCAGA